rnacentral:rRNA from 1 species
UACAGAGGGGGCAAGCGUUGUCCGGAAUUACUGGGCGUAAAGCGUCCGCAGGUGGCCGUGCAAGUGUGAUGUGAAAGCCCCGCGCUUAACGCGGGGAGGCCAUUACAGACUGCACAGCUCGAGGGAUGCAGAGGGUCGUGGAAUUGCCGGUGUAGUGGUGAAAUGCGUAGAGAUCGGCAGGAACACCAAGGACGAAGGUAGCGACCUGGGCAUCACCUGACACUCAUGGACGACAGCGUGGGGAGCGAACCGG